GGCGAAGCUGGCGGCAUGCCUACANUCNCAAGUCGACGGUACAGGUCUUCGGAUGCUGACGAGUGGCGGACGGGUGAGUAAUGCGUAGGAAUCUGUCUUUUAGUGGGGGACAACCCAGGGAAACUUGGGCUAAUACCGCAUGAGCCCUGNAGGGGGAAAGCGGGGGAUCUUCGGACCUCGCACUAAGGGAGGAGCCUACGUCUGAUUAGCUAGUUGGUAGGGUAAAGGCCUACCAAGGCGACGAUCAGUAGCUGGUCUGAGAGGACGACCAGCCACACUGGGACUGAGACACGGCCCAGACUCCUACGGGAGGCAGCAGUGGGGAGUUUUUCGCAAUGGGGGCAACCCUGACGAAACAAUGCCGCGUGGAUGAAGAAGGCCUUCGGGUUGUAAAGUCCUUUCGUGGAGGACGAAAAGGCGGGUUCUAAUACAAUCUGCUGUUGACGUGAAUCCAAGAAGAAGCACCGGCUAACUCCGUGCCAGCAGCCGCGGUAAUACGGGGGGUGCAAGCGUUAAUCGGAAUCACUGGGCGUAAAGGGUGCGUAGGCGGUACGUUAGGUCUGUCGUGAAAUCCCCGGGCUCACCUGGGAAUGGCGGUGGNAAACCGGCGGACUAAAUAAGGGAGAAGGGUGGGUGGAAUUCCAGGC
rnacentral:rRNA from 1 species